rnacentral:misc_RNA from 1 species
AGCAAGACGAUGCCCCUGAUCCUAUUAUAAAUGCUUGCAAUGGCUUCUACUGUGACUACUUUUCUCCAAACAAGGCUUAUAAACCAAAGAUAUGGACUGAAGCCUGGACUGCAUGGUUUACUGGUUUUGGAAAUCCAGUUCCUUACCGUCCUGCUGAGGACUUGGCAUUUUCUGUUGCAAAAUUUAUACAGAAGGGAGGUUCCUUCAUCAAUUAUUACAUGUAUCAUGGAGGAACAAACUUUGGACGGACUGCUGGUGGUCCAUUUAUUGCUACUAGUUAUGACUAUGAUGCACCACUUGAUGAAUAUGGAUUAUUGCGACAACCAAAAUGGGGUCACCUGAAAGAUCUGCAUAGAGCAAUAAAGCUUUGUGAACCAGCUUUAGUCUCUGGAGAUCCAGCUGUGACAGCACUUGGACACCAGCAGGAGGCCCAUGUUUUUAGGUCGAAGGCUGGCUCUUGUGCUGCAUUCCUUGCUAACUACGACCAACACUCUUUUGCUACUGUGUCAUUUGCAAACAGGCAUUACAACUUGCCACCAUGGUCAAUCAGCAUUCUUCCCGACUGCAAG